AAGCAUAAUUCUAUGCUUUUCUCCACAUUGAGAGAGUGAGAUGGAACUCAGUUGGAUGUCACCUCCCCUGUUUAGGACAAAGAUCACACUCUGCCUUGAAACCCAGUAAUCAAAAAGAAAAUCCGACAAAGUUGGAGUGAAGUACAGGGAAGCAGGAUCAGUACAGACACUCCCUCUGAGAACUUGGACUUGGGGAAGUAUAAGGCGCCUCCUACUGAGCACACUAGCAGCUACUAAAGACUUUGUGAUCAAAGAUCCUGGACGUGGGGUCAUCCUGUUCUCUCACCACAAGUCGAAUGGCAAGCUGGAGCCUAAAAGUGGCUAUGCCCAAGCUUUCAGUGCUUUUUCUCCUGGGAGAAACUUUGGAAUGAGCACAUCCUCUCAUGACUGAAGCUGUUAUUUAUUGAAGCAGAGAUGCAUUGAUGGAUUCAGCAGCAGUGGACCAAAGUUGAGCUCUGCUGCAGGAUGCUGAAGACCUUGUCAGAUGUGGGCAGCCAGUAGACAGCUGUAAGCCAACCCUUGACCUGAGAGCUCUGCCAUGGUAAUUAGUGUUGUAAAUGAGUCAAGCUUACAGCAGCAUAUGCUCAAAUCUAAUAUAGCAUCUUCCGUCACUAUCUUAGUGUUACGAUGAUCACGACUGUUUUCAGAGUGUGCUAAAAGUAUUUUUAAAGAGUUAACAAAGCAAUAACAAAGAAGCUAGCAACUGCCCACCGCCUUUCCCCC
ensembl:lincRNA